UAAACUCAUUGAAAAGAUUAUAACAUUCCCAAAAAAACUUUUAUUAUAAUGAGGGUCUCGGAAUUGGUUUCCAAACCGAUAAAACAAUGCAACUCUUUUGUUGCCAAACUGAUAGGAUAGAAACAAUGGGCAACUAAAAUUCAAAAAACCUAUAACUCCUGCUAUACUCAACUUAAAACUACAACGAACACGCGUUGGAAAAGUUUAAAAAUUGUCCACGACUUUUGCAAUAAAGUUGCACCCAAAUUUAUCUUUAUAGCCCUCAACUCUGUAUGACCUACAGCUAAACUCAGCCUGAGAUUCUGCACAUUAGAGAUUCGACUUAUAUUCGGACAACCACCUCUCCCAAUCUAUUUAACAGACAAUUACAAGAAAAUACUCAUUUAAAAGGUACUGAGAAGAACUAAAAGUUUUGCUUAAAGAGAAUUCCCAAAUUUGGGCUCUGAAACUAUCAAAACGCGGUCGAUUUAUUGGUGGUUAUAACGACACCUAACGUUUAGACACAACGGUGCGACAACUUCAGAGUAGCCUAACUCCAAUUAUAUGCAAUGAAAAUUACAAACCAAUAUUCUUUGGAAAGAUCAUGAAAUUACUAAAACUUUCAUAAUCCAACAAAGACCAAUUUAUACCGUCUUCAAUGUCUACUCUUCCGUACAAAAUUAAAGACUCAUUCUACCAGAGGCACCAACAAGGAUGUCUUAGGAAACCCAUAACUCUCAAAUGUUUAGACCAAACCGGGUGAUUAAGCAUCCUAUGGAAAGAUGAAGAAACAUACUACAAAACAUUCUAGAUAAGUGAAGCCUGAUUCAGCCUCCAACUAAUUUAAAAUGCCUCCCAAAACCAAACAACAAUACAAAACAAUAUAAAUUGAAACCCAAGGCAUUGGCAGGUGCAAUCAACACUAGGAUUUUCCACUACCAAACUGGGAUGCAACUCCCCAAAGUCUUUAAAUAAAACUCUACCAAAAUAGGUUAGCGAAUUCAACAACCUCGUUUGUUAAUGCCACUAAGGUCAAACAUCCAUGUAUCGACAAUGUAUGAAACACCUGACAUACACGUCUCAAGCACUAUAAAACAUGGUUGUUAUUACACUAGAAUCCAACUACUAGAAAUCUCCAAAACUAUUCUGUUGACGUGAAGCAAAUGGUGCUCGUGCCAUAUAACGUCUUUUUUCUCCUCUCAAAAGAGAUAAAAUGUGCAACACUCAUAAAGCAAUGGAGGGAUAACAACAAGAAAAACUAAUGUUCUUCUUGAUACAGACUCAUGCAAAAGCUUCAUAAAUAUUACUUUCAACACUAAAAUAAUAACACGAUACUAUGCUUAACAGGAGUAAUUGGACUUCAAUAAGACAAUCCACCUAACCAAACUACCUUGAUUAAACCUCACAUACAACAAUACUUCCUAUUAUUGCACUCGAACAAUUUGUACCUCGUGAUGUCAUAUGAUGAAUUCAAUGUAGUAGACAUACAUGAUCUAUCAAUCCAUCAUUCAUAUGAAAAAAAAUCUCCAUCUGAUGCAACAACCACAUCAUUAUAGAGAUAGAUGACUAACAAACAUAAGCAACUUCUAGUUAAGCAUUGACUUUGUUUAAGAUAAAGCGGUCCAAAUAAUAAUUCAACAAGCAUGCAUAGAGAACUGAUCAUAAAAAAAUAAAACUACCAUAUAUCGUCGGCGAUUAAAAAAUAUAUAAAACGGGUUGUCCAUAUCGUCCACAUGACUAGCCUCCAACAAAUAAAAAUUAUGCAUAUCCUUUUUGGCUAUAGAAACAAACCAUAGAACACUACAAGAAACUAAUAAAAGUUCGUGGGGCAAACUAAGAACGUGGGUACCGAUGUUCUUAUUUGAAUUAAGUUCAUGGGUUUGACGAAGAACGUGGGUACCCACAUUUUUAAUUUAAGUUCGUGCGGCCUGACUGAAACCGUCGAACUUAAGGUAUUAGAAACGUGGGUACCCACGUUUUUAAUUUAAGUUCGUGGGCCAGCAGGAAACCGUCGAACUUAACUAAAAAACCCAAACCCCUAACCCGCGCGGGACUCAUCUAUCUCACCCUCUCUCACACGCUGAAAUCCCCUCCACGCCGCCCCUCUCUCACAUACUCACAAGUCGCGCCGCCGGACCGCCGGACCACCGGACCCGCGCCACCCCUCCGCCACCGCGCGCACUCCUCCACCACGCUCGCCGUGCCUCCGCCAGCCACCGCACUCGCCGCGCCUCCGCCACCGCUCCUCCAGGAUUCAGAUCGCGGCCGCGGCGACUCCCCGAGCAGAAGAACCCGAUCGAACGCGGCCGCGGCGACUCCCCGAGCAGAAGAACCCGAUCGAACAUGGCUGCGACGGUGACUCCCCGAUCUCAGAUCCCUGCUGCGAGCAAAGGUAAGAUCUUUCCAAGAUCUCCGUGCUCGAUAGUUCACAUCGAUUCCCGCCAGUGGGUUCCCUCAAAUUUUUCGGUCUCUCUUCUCCCCACGGGACCAGUAGUGUUCGAUUCGAGCAGAGAUGGCGGCGACAUGGGCUGGGCUGGCUUUGUUGCUCGUCACGGCGCAGUUGGCGUCAGCAGCGCAAAUCACGGCGCCAUUGUUCCUGUGGGCGCCCAAAAACUAUGGGUGAGUAACUCGUUGCGCUUACUAUUUCCGUCAGAUCCCAUGUUUGUUAGAUACAAUGGGCGAUAUUGAUGAUCGGGGUUCCGGGUGUUCUGCUUCGCUUAAUAAGUUGAAUCCAUUGCGAAUUGGUGUACAGAGCUUUGCCACACAGAUGGGAUUUCUUAGCCUAUGUUCAACGAAUAGUUUCUUACUAUAUUGACUAUUCAGAGUUUAGGAACCCAACCUAUUUUUUACCUUUCGAGCUUGCUAUAUUCGUCGGUAACCCACGUUCUUACGGUAAGUUCGACGGCUUAUUACAUUAAGUUCGACGGUUUGUCACCCACGUUCUUUAACCAGUUUCCUGUAGUGGAAGGAAAACAUGCAUGCCUCUUCAACUAUAAUAUAGACAUAAAAUCCACUUGAAAUCACCCUAUUUAUUGUUAAAGAUAAGGUUGCACACCAUAAGAAAACCUAUCAUGUAAACAUGGUUGAACUUAUCUAUCCAUGUCAUCUUACAAAUUCACUUGAGUUCUACCAGUCUCAAGAUUUCAUAGACAGUACAACAUUGCCUUUGCUCUAUGGAGACAAACCUAUUGUACUCUAAGAUCAAGUUGGCAAGUAGCCAUAUUAGCCCAAGGGGGUGAGGCACAAAGCAUUGCAUCCAUGGAAAUAUUACAUUGAUAAGUUGGGUUGUAACCCAACAUUCAAUCAGACUCAACAACAUGAUAAAACUACAUUAUAUAGUGUUUUCACACCACACCAAGCCAGAUUAGACCCACUAUACACAAACUCAAUAAACAAUCGGUCCUACAAGUACUAGAACCCAAAAAAUCCAUUUAAAAAACAUCCACAGUCACGCAUAUAGAAAUAUAUGAUAGUAAUAGCUCAGAGAUUUGAAAAACAUCGCAUCAAAAAAACCAUCAUGACGAUAUGCAUACAAAACAAGUACAUUAGUAGUUUCACUUGCAUAAUAACUUCAAUAACAACCACAUCAAGAAACCCAUAUUAAAUAGAAGGAGCAUAUCAUAUCAAGCAUUAAGUCGUUAACGACAUAUCCCACCAAACCAUAAAGGGAUUUGGAGUAAGGGUAUUCUAGUCAUCUAUACAAUAAUACUAAUAUGAAAGAUAUACGAACCCAUACCCUUCCUAUAUGUGCAAGUGUAUCAAAUUUAUCUUCAAAUUGCGUAGAAUAUAAAGCCUAUGCUUUGAUAUCAACUGUAACAUCCUAGGAUCCACAAACACCCCGGAAUGCUACUGAACUACACUUCCGACAUCCGUAAAUAAAAUUUCGGCAGCAUCUCCUUUGCAAAAUUGCAUAAAUGAGGGGGCAACAGUGUAUAAACAUAUAUCAUGACAAAAAAACAUACUAAGUAUUAUUAAUCGGCUAGCAAAGGGAAGUUAAACAUACGACAUGAACUGAAUUAACCAGUGCACAUGACUAGUUAAAAAACAAACAUCCUUUGACAACAAGUUUCUAAUUAAAUCAUGGUUGCGCCAGGGCAGCGUUAUUAUGAGAGUGAAAGUGAACGUGCUGCUACUCCUCUCAUUCCCAACAUGUAUCAAGUACCUGCAUUGAGUAAUGCAAGAGUGAGAUGACACAUCUCAGCAAGUAAAAUAAUAACAAACUGUUUAACCAUAUAACAACAUUGUUUUACCACCACUUGAUUUCACAACCUUCUUAUUACGAAGGUGCAGCACGAAUACAACGUACAACACACCUAGUUACCACACCUCGCAGGUAGAAACCACAAUAGUAACAUAGUAAUGUCACCCUUCAUAUAUACCUCAUGAGUGCAAAUGUCUGCAAAUGCAAUGAUGACUUCUGCCUUCAUACCUCUAAGGAUAUGAAGCCGCAUCAUACCCCUCCUCGGACAACAUACGAUGCUAAAAGUGUACCGGUACGGUCGGACCAUAAGAUCAUGACAUAACUUCAAAAUGCAAGAUGGAUGAUGCGAUGUGCAUGACAUGCCUACAACACUUCAUAUAACAUGAUUCAAAAAGAUACUUCAACUUCAUCCAAGAUGGGAAUCAACCACAUAUAUCAUUCCCAAAUCAUGAUCAUCCGCAAUAUUAGACAAUUGAGAAUUAAUACUUAAGAACAAAUAAACUUCAUCAUAGAAUUCAAUGAUUAACACAUUUAAUACUUAUGCAUAUUCAAUGACAAGGCAUAGGAUGCAAACCAAACGGUAGCAACCACCACUGUAUUUACUUGCCUUCACCGGGAAUUUGGAAUGGUACUAAGUACGAUCCGGAAGUCCACCAUCUGUUUUUGACACACACCUUAGUGCACAAAUCAACAUAACAAACGCUAAUAAACAACGCCGUACCUACGCACAAUUCCAACCCGUCGCGAGCGACAACUCUCCCCAUCACCACUAAACUGCAGCGGCGCUGCUUGAUAAUUUCAUAACUUUAAAAUUAUAACAGCAGUGAUAUCAAUCAAAAACUCCAGAAUCAUUUACAUAACAUUCCCCACAAGUUUUAUAUUCAAAUGAUAAUUAAAUUCCAACGCCUAAUUAGCCCAAAACAGUCCACAAGAUAAACCUUGCAAUCUGUUUUUGGACAGUAGCAUACCUGGAUUCAAACAGCGAUAUCUCCUAAAAUAUAACUCCGAAUCGAGCGCAUAAGUACUCGUUGGAAAGGUAUGACAAAGCUCUACAUGAUUCUCUCACUGAUUCCCACUAAUUACCCACGAAAAAUCCCCAGAAACUGCUAAUACUACUGCUGUUCGCCCAUCUACAAAAUUUCUGGACAGCACCUCUACCAAUUCGCAUACGUAAACAUCUAAUCGAUUGAAUUGCAGCACAAAUAAACAAGAGUUAAUCACAAAAUCACCUUGACUUCUUCCCCUUUCCUCCCUCCUACUUCCUUCCACCAAAUUCUAAUUGGAGAUUUGCACCCACGUGACAUAGAUCAAGCAGGAGGGCUGCACCUAGGAGAGGAGAAGAUGGGGGCAGUUAGGGUUUGUGGUAUGGUGGCUACAAGAGUUUGAGGGAGGAGGAGAUGAGAGAGGGGGCUGCACAAAGGCUAGAGAGAGGGGGGCGGGUGCACAAGGGGGAGGGCAGCUAGGGUUAGGGGGGCUAGUGGGCCGGAUCGAGUUUCAUGGCCCAACUCGCUCACACGACAGCUCCCGACCCCGGCGCAUGAGUCUAACCAAAACUUCUACUGUUUUACUGGCGAAUGCUUCCCAAAAAUUCCAAACCCCUGUAGCACAGGACCCGGAAGAGAAAACGAAGAAAAAAAGAAUAAUCUUCAAUUUCUCUUCUUUUUUUGAAAAUUGGGUAUCACAAGAUGAGGGAGGUAACCCGGUUAAUCAAACUCUCUACCGUUCUAUGAUUGGUAGUUUAUUGUAUCUUACCACAUCUAGGCCCGAUAUCAUGUUUAGUGUCUGCAUGUGUGCAAGAUUUCAAUCAAAUCCUAAGAAAGCUCAUCUUCGCGCUGUUAAAAGAAUUCUUAAAUAUCUCAGGCGCACCCCAAGCGUUGGUCUGUGGUAUCCCAAAGGAGCUACUUUUGACUUAAUUGGCUAUUCCGAUUCGGAUUAUGCCGGUUGCAAAAUUGGUAGAAAAAGUACUUCUGGGGGUGCCAUUUGCUUGGGAGAUCACUAGUAUCAUGGACAUCCAAAAAGCAACAUAGUGUUGCCUUGUCAACCGCCGAAGCAGAAUACAUUGCCGCGGGUGCUUGUUGCACACAAAUUUUAUAUAUGAAACAAACUCUUCUAGACUAUGGCGUAGUUCUAGAAAAGGUAUCUUUGUUGUGUGACAAUGAGAGUUCUGUUAAAAUUGUUAAUAAUCUUGUACAACACUCUCGCACCAAGUACAUUGAUAUCCGUCAUCACUUCCUUAGAGAUCAUGUUGCUAAAGGAGACAUCAUUUUAGAAGGAGUGAGGUCGGAAGAUCAAUUAGCGGAUAUUUUCACUAAGCCACUUGAUAAAACCCGCUUUUGCAUGUUGAGGAAUGAAUUAAAUAUACUUGAUCUUAGAAAUUUUAUUUAAGAUAUCAAAAUGGUGUUGUCAAGCUUGCAUUGCAUAUUUAAAUUUCUUGUAUUACAUCUAGGGCUUGUCUAACCUAGUUGAGAUAACCGCCAACAAAGCGAGUGAAAAAGCUUAACUCGGGAUCAAACUUGACAAGUCUUAGUUGUAAGCUUUUAGUACUUAAAUUCUUACUUACUAUGCAAUUGUUGGUUCUUGAGAUAUGCAUGAGGCACUACACUUAGGGGGGGUAUUCAAAACUCAAACCUUUCAUGAAAACCCCUAGUGCAAAGCUAAGAUGCAAAUCUCACCAUUUUCCUAUUUUCUCUAAAAAUUAUCUAGCCUAUGGCAAAAUAUUUCGAAAAUUAUGAGAAAAUAUAUGAGGGUGCCAAUACCUAUCCCAACAGGUGUUCUUUUGUGUGAAUAUAAGUUGGGAUUUGGUUUGGUUGGAAACUAAAUAGAAAAUUUGAAAAUUUUCGAAUUUCCCUCUGUCUGGGCUCACCGGACAAUCUGGUGUGCACCGGACACUGCACUGUGCACUGUCCGGUGCACCGGCCGCGUGCGCGCAGAUCUCCCCUUUCCUGUGCGUUGUCCGGUGGUUCACCGGACAGCUACUGUGCGCUGUCCGAUUUGCACCGGACGGGCACUGUAGACUAUCCGGUGCGCCCAUAAUGCAUUUUAAAAAAAGGACCUGUAGCCCGAGGCCGAGCUAGAGGCCCAGUCUUACUUCUGUGCUGGCUCCCCUCUCUCCUCUCUAGGACUGGGCGUUCGGGUUUACCCGAAAUUUUGGGUCAGACUUUUUGGGUUUUUUAUAUUUCGAGUUUUCAACAGUAGAGCCUGUAUUCGUACCAGAAAUUUCGGGUACCUGCAAUUUCGAGUACCCGCAAAUUUGGGUUUGAGUUUAGGUUUGAGUUCGGGUACCCGUACUCGUAUUCAAGGACGAUUCCAAAGUCUUCGUCUCUGUCGUUGUGCACUGCCGCCUUUCCUCCGCCUGCGAGUAAUUAAAGAACAAGAGGGGGAUUUCACGGGGAUCUGCCCUGAUCUAGAUGGCUCUUUGGUCUGCCAUGCAGGGAGGGGACCGGCACGUUCGUACGGUCCAGCGAUAGUGACGACGAGCUCGAGUUGGAAUUUUGUGAUGAAAUUGGAAUGAAGUUUCGCAUAGCCAGCACUCAGCAGCAAGCUAGUAGUAUUAACAAUGCUGAUCAAGGACUAGUGAGACACUAACAAAUGGACCGAGCGAGUGACCGACGGAGGAGGAAGAAAUGAGUAGGCUAUCAACUGGGUGUGGCCCAUGGGCUGUGCCGCUGUUGGGCUAGCGGCUAGCGCUCAGCCUGGCACGUGCUGUCUAAUUUCGGGUAGAAUGGGUACUUCGGGUACCGCGGGUGAAUACCCGAUUAGGCCCAAACUUAGUUCGGGUAUUCCGUUUUGUUACCCGUUGGAGCUGUUCGGGUAACGAGUCUCGGGCUAAACGGGUAUGGGUUUGGGUAUUUUGGGUAACGAGCUUCGGGCUCGGGUUUUAUGCCUAGUCCUACUCCUCUCUGGCGUCUCCUCCUCACCACCGGCGACCCCAGCUCCUCUUCGGCGAUUCUCCGGUGACCAAGCUUCACUGUGCUCGGGCUUUGCUUCUUUCCCCUCUGGUGAGCAGCUUCUAGCUCCCUCUCCCCUUAUCUCUGGUUCAAACAGCAGUGAAGCCCCUCUUCCCCUUUGUUGCUAAAUUUCAAAUUCCUAUCAAAUCAUGUGAAUCCAAGUGCAAGAUUGAGUAGGGAUGAAAACGGACGGAAACGGACGGAAAAACCAUUCUCCUGUUUCCGUAUCCGCAUUUUAUCAUCGAAAACGGGAUCGGGUCCGGAAUAGUCGGGAAUGGAAAUGGGAGCGGGAUAAACGGAAUUGUAAAAACAAACGGAAACGGGAAUACUAACAGAAACUCAUAAUUUAAUAUAAAUAGAAAUGUUAUUGAUGUUUGACUAGUGAUUGAUUAGCAGAACAAUAACAUAAAACAAAUAGAUAUAGAGACGCAACAUUCUAUUGUUGUUUGGUUGCUAAAUGUGUACAUUUAGCUACAUCCGAUGUUGUUUAAGACUUUAGAUCACUUGUCAUUUGAAAAGAGCCGGUGGUUACAAUGGCCAAUUGUGCUAUAAUUUGUCACCUAAAUACACGAGGAUUUAGUUUAUAUACUAAUGCAUAUUAGGCUCGUCCCAUAUUUGUCAAAUAUGGAAUAAAUACGGGUUCAAUCCGAAAAAAACGGGAUCCCGCAAAAACGGAUGGAAUAAGCUCUCUCCCGUUUCCGUCCUGUUUCCAUAUUUUUCCGUAAAUACAGAAACAGUCGGGUCAAAUGUAGAAAACGGUACGGGUCGGGACAGGAUUUUUUCCAUCCGUUUUCAACCCUAAGAUUGAGUUCCUUUAUGCUCCUUGAGUACUCCUGUAGGUUCCUAGCUCCUUAGGGAGGGUUUCACCACCAAAAUGGCCAUAUCUCCAAAACCCUAAAACACCGCACGCCACGUGCUCUGUGAAAUGCCCAAACCAGCUAAAAUUGCUCUGAUUGAACCCAAACUUUUCAGGCACCUUCACAAUACCUCCAGUAACAUAUUCGCCAAAUUUCACGCCAAUCCGAUAUACCAGGCUUCAAUUUCAAACAAUUCCUCGUUUCUAGCAAUCGAUUCCGAGCCGAGUGCUCAAAUUCCAUUUUCUUCGCCUCAAAUCAAAUCAAGCGCACACUUCACUCAUAUUUACCCAUAUAAACCUAUUCAUGAAGUAUCGGCCCAAUUCCAAAUCAUUUCAUGCCUCAUUUUCAAUUUCAAACCUCCUAUGGCACUAUUUCACGUUCAAACGUCGUUUCGCGUCUGUUGGGGACUUGUUCUCAAAUGCUAAGAGUUAAGAACAAGGCAACAUAAAAAAUGUUAAAUGUUAAAGUCCUUCGUCCUUUGAAGCAUUAUCUCCCUUCGGAUAUAAUGAAUCCCGGACGAAGGUUAUGAAGGGCAAGCCUUCAUAAGCACAAUAAAUAAUGGAGAAGGAUUCAUACACAAGAUAUGAAAAAUAAUAUAAACACUUUAAACAUUGUUAUUAACUUAUUUUUAUUUGCGUUACUGUAUUAACAAUAACAAAUUACAAAUGUACCUUCGGCUCGAAGGAAAGCAAGGGUACAAGCGUGACGCGAAAGCAAAUGCCAAGUCAACGUGAACAGUACGGGGAUACUGUUCACCUAUUUAUAGGCACGGGACGCAGCCCAUGUAAAAUUACACCCAUGCCCUUUACAUUUGCUAAUGACCCUAUAGUAAUCCAUCGAGGUCUGAAUAGCCUUUUCCUUUUUAAGUUGGUUCCCUUUUCUGCUGUCAUGCCGAAGCUCUCCUGCACAUAGCUUCGGCUCUGCGCCAACCUUCGUGAUCUUUGUGCCUCUUCAUGUUGUAGUUCUGAUCCAAAUCCAAAGAUACCUGUUCAUGUAUUAUACUCCAGAAACAUUGUUAAAUCAUGUUUUUGAGGACCUUCGGAAGCCAAAGGCCCCCAACAGUAGCCCCUCUCAAUAUUAAUUUGUUAGAAUGAUAAAUUCAGAUUGCGAUAUGGACGAAGGUCCAAAAAAACACCUUCCCUUUGCUAGAAUAGCAAUAGUCAAUGACAAGUGGGGCCCUGCCACUUGCAACGUAUUGGGCGUAUAAAUAAGAACGCACCACGAGCACAUUUAGCACGCUUUCUUGCCGUCUGCUCUUGCCUUCCUAAUUUUUAGCUCUUUGCACACCAACACUUGCCUAGCUUUUUAAAUUUUUAAGCUUCGUCUUUGAGAGCACUUUCUUAGCAUUUUCGAAGAUGUCUGAAGACAAGAAAGUUGUCGCUGAGUCGAAGCUAAGCCUUUCCGAAGAGAUGAAUCUCGGCUUCCUUGAAUCAAUAGCAAAGACAAACACAGAGAAGAUUACUAAGGAGAUUUUAGAGGGCCUAUCUGAAGACAUUGGUGAUAGUGACAGUUAUGAUGUGGAAAGUGGCGGUGAAGAUUCCGGAGAUCGACCCUGGCGACCAAGGCAUGCAGUUUUUGGAAAAUCAAGCAUUAAACAAAGCCAUCUUGUCAAUAUGAGGGGUAGAUAUUUUCGGGAUUUAUCUAUUGUGAGGGCUGACAAAGGAGAGAAAACUUGUCCGACUCCUGAGGAGAAUGAAGUCGUGAUAUUCCGAAGUUUCUUUAAGGCUGGGCUUCGGUUUCCUUUGAGCAGUUUCGUGGUAGAAGUUUUGAAGAUAUUUGAAAUCUGCCUUCAUCAAAUUACUCCCAAAGCAAUCAUGAGGAUGGGAAUCUUCGUAUGGGCCGUGAAGAGCCAAGGUUUGGAGCCAAAUGCAAAAAGUUUCUGUAGCAUGCAUGAGUUAUUAUAUGAGACAAAACCCUGGGGUAAAGAGCAAUACCAUAACAAUUUUGGCUGUUACAGCUUCGGUGCCCGCUCUGGGUCAAGCUGUCUCGUGCCAACUUUUUGGAAGAGAUGGCCUGGGGACUGGAUGAAGGAAUGGUUCUAUGUGAAAAACGACUUGAAGACACGAGAAGAUAUUAAAUAUAUCAUCAUGCGCCCCAUCUGGCAGCAUUUUGGCCUUCGGAAACCGAAGGUGGAUAUUGACGAAGCAGUCGGAGAGCCUUCGGUGUAGUUUGUUCUUUCAUCAGGACGAGGGAUUUGAUCCAGGAGCAUAUUGCCUUCAGAGUAUGGCCACUUGUGGAAAAGUGGGAAAUACCAAAGGAAACCAUCAGCAAACCUUACGAAGGUGGAAUAGUUAGGCUAAAAUAUACCUUCAGAUAUGGAGAUCAGUUUGUCGAGCCAGAUGAUGAUUGGCUGAAAUGUAUUGAGGCCACAAACGAUGAACUGCUUGGACCAUAUUCAAAGGCAGAAGAUACUGCACUGUCUGCAGCCUUCGGAGGCCGGAAGAAGAAAAGGCUCAAUCGAGUAUUUGAUGCCAUUGGGUUCGCCUAUCCUGACUAUCGUUACCCAACACGGGGUCAAAAAAGGAAAGAUACAGCUUCUGUGAAGGAAGCUGCUUCAGUAGCUCUUAAUGAGCCAUUGCCGACGAGGAAAAAGAUGAAGGUUCUUACACACCAGCCAUGCUAUAUUGAACCGGCCACAGUGCCCGAGUUUGUCGGUGAAACCUCUUCGGCCACCAAAGCCAAGGAGCCGACUCCCCUGCCGAAUAUUGAAGAGCCGGUCAUAAUGCCGGAGAUGGAGAAAAUAGAAGAACCGAAGGCUAAAGAAACAAGGACAUCUGAAAUUUUAAGUCCUUCAGCAAAAGUUACAGUACCAAAAGAAAAAGGAUGGUUAAUGUACUGGAUGUAUUGGAGACAAUAAAGUCUUCAAGCACUACUCCGAAGAAAAUUGCCGAAACUCCCGAAGUGCAAAUCGAAGCCUUUGGUGCCGAAGCUUCAAAGCACCAAGCUGAGACUGAAGCUGGGCCUUCAAAGCCCACCAAGGUGAAAUCCUUGGAAACCAAAGAAACAAAAGCAGCAGAACAAAUUUUGGCUGAAGAAACUGGCACUGUCGCCCUCGAAGCAUUUUCCGAAGCUUUCAAUUAUAUUUUACGACAUGCUUCGGGGAAAGAGUUGACUGAAAAAGAAAAGCAAGAGGCUCAGUUCUAUGCCCAAAAACUGAAAUAUCCAAAGGGGGCGUUGAUAUUCAACGGUAGCGGAGAAGAAGACUUCUUGUAUUGUCUCCCUGACAGCAAGGAGAUUUCUGUCUAUCGGGAGAUGAGCAAGAGCUUCGGAUUCCCAACAUUAGAAGACGGGCUCUCGGUGUUGUCAAAAAAUGAGCUGGCCGACAGCUUGGCGUACAAUAGCUUAAAGGUGAAAAAAUGAGAUCUUUGUAUUAUUCCUUGAAACCAAAAUUUUUCGUUUGCCUGAACUUAUUAACGCAUUUUUUACAGGGCCUUAUACUUAGCAAUGCCCUCAGGGCACAAAAAGAUGCCGAAGACGAAGGGUGUACCAUAGCCUUGAGCAACCUUCGUUCCGAAGUAAUUGAACUAAGGAACGAAGGUCUCAAAAAAGAUAAAAUAUUACAUUCGCUUGUGAAUAGAAUAAAAGAAGAUGAAGCUGCUUUCAAAGCUCAAGCUGAGGCUCAGAAGCGCAAAAUUGAGGAUCUUCGGAAACAACUAGCCAGAGCUAAAGAAGAAUGCACGGUUGAAGAAGCCAAACGAGAAAUUAGUGAACAAUGGGCAAAUCAUCUAGAGAAAAAUGUUGAAGAGCUUCGUGCAUCCAAGAAAAGGUGUUAUGAAAAAUCUGUAGAAUGUGAUAAGAAAAUAAGAACCUGCUUCGCCAGCGUUGGCGCAUUCUCAAGUGAAGAAAAUUUCAUAAGGGGCAACCCCGAGGGCCCAAUUGGAUGGAUCAGCCACGAAGCUGAAGCUUUUGAAGAAGUUUUGAAUAGCCGCAGAGACAUUUGUGCCUUCUCAGGUGCUAGGGGGAUUGCCAUUGUUUUGGAGAAAAAAGGUUGCGAUCACGUGAAAUCCUUGGCACAAACCGAAGCCGACUUGUCCCCUGAAGACAUAAAAGACCCUUCAGCCGAGGCAAGUCUGGUUGGUGGAAAAUUUUUCACCGACAUCUGGGACAAUGGUGGCCGGGAGAUGGCCCAAGAAAUUAUACGAAAAAGCGAGAAAGGUAUUCAUGACGCUAGAAAAGUAGCAGAGGCCGCUGAGAAAAGUGCGGAUCUCGAAGGGCAAAUAGGUAUUGACUAGUAGUUUUUGGCUCUUUGUUGUAAUUUUUUGAUUUCGAACUUGUUUACACUUUUGUAACACAGCCGCACUUUCUCCUCCCUCAGAGCCUGCCGAGCCAUCGGCGAUCCCCCACGCGAAGGGGGACGACGAAAUUAGAAAAAUGGCCGAAGCUAUCAUGGAUAAAGUUGUUGAUCAACUACUAAACGAAGCUGCAGAAGUAGUUCUAAGGGAAGAUUAGAUGUUAUUGUAAAAAUAUUUGGAAUGUAAUAUUUGUUGAACAACAUGUGUAAUAUUUUGUAACUUUGAAUGUAAUAUAUAAGCUAUUUAUGGUUCAAUUAUUUACGAUGCAUGAAACUUUACAUACAUACCGUUUUUUGAGCCUUCGGCGAAAAAACACCUUCCCUUCUUUUCAUGCUUCGUAAAUAAUAUCUGUAUUUUCAUAAAAACAUCCAAUCGUCGUAAAAUCAGUAACCAAUAGAUCUUUUCAUUUCGGAGUUUGACGAAGGUAUGCUUCUUUGAUAAUUAUUCUUGUGCCUUGGCACUGUUUCUUCGAAACAAUCUUCGAAUAUCAACAUUGAACCCCCUUCUUGCAUCAUUGAUGCAAUAUGAUGUAUGAUGUUAUGCUAUGCAAAUGAUGUGAUGAUGUGAUGUUAUGCAAAAUGAUAUUUGCCGAAGAUCGACGUUUAUUUUUCACUUUAAGCCUCCCUUAGGAGCUUCUUCGCCUUUUACAUCAGCGGAAUCAGCGUUUAUUUUUCGUUGUAAGCCUCCCUUAGGAGCUUCUUCGCCUUUUACUUUCAGCGGCAUCAGUGUUUAUUUUUCGUUGUAAGCCUCCCUUAGGAGCUUCUUCGCCUUUUACUUUCAGCGGAAUCAGCGUUUAUUUUUCGCUGUAAGCUCUGCAUUCCCUUCGGAACGACUUUUGAGCAGAAAACUUACGCUGCGCUCCCUUAGGAACGACUUUUUGUUAUUUCUGAGAUUCUCCUUGUAGCCAUAAAUUCUUAUGCUUCGGCAACUCCGUUAUUCUAUGAAGAAGGUAUAUUUUUACUGUGGCGAAAACGAAGCUAUUACAAGAAAUUGAAAACGACAAAAAGCACUUAAGCUUUCAAUAAUUGUUCCUUAUUAAAAAGAAAAUGAUACUGAAUGUAAAAACUGCUUCCAAGGUAGGAUAUUUGUUAGUAAAUAUGAUUCGAUUCUGGCACAGUACUAUUGAUUGUGCGAGCUUCGGACUCUUCUCUGAAGUCCCGUUGGAGGUGGGUAUGCUGACUCCCUUCUGGCUGCUGGCCUCGUUGCAUUGGUGGUGGAGGUGGAGGCUGUUGCCAAGAUGCCUGAGGUUGGCUUGCCGAAGCAACAGAAGCUGCAGGGUGGUUGCCUACAUACUCUGGAAUGUAAGGCGAAUGGUACGAAGCAGUGUGCAUAACUUGCUUCAGCUGACUCUGUUGGGCUGCAGCUUCUGCUAUCUCCUUUUGUUUCUGGAUGGUAACAUGGCACAUGCUGGUGGUAUGGCCCUUGUCCUCACCACAGAAUAGGCAAUAAAUCUUCCUGGGCUGAUCCCCAAAUCUUCCUCCAAAGCCCCUGGCACCUCUGCCCCUUGGAGCUGGAGGCCGAGGAUAGCUCUGCUGCUGCCCCGAAGCCUGGGAGGAAUAUUGCGGCCUCUGCUGCUGGCUUCCCCUGUCAUCACUCUGAGUGUUAUGAAUCGAUCUGACAUGUCUAGGAUGAAUUCUUCCUCCGAAGCCCCUAGCUAUUUCGGAGAACCUGUAAGCUUCCUCCCUUCUCUGUCGAAAGUCAUUGUCAGCGCAGAUGUAUUCAUCCAUCUUCUGAAGCAGUUUUUUCAGUGUCUGAGGGGGCUUCCUGGCAAAGUAUUGGGCUGAAGGUCCCGGCCGGAGCCCCUUAAUCAUGGCCUCAAUGCCAAUUUCAUUGGGCACUGUUGGCGCUUGUGCCCUCAGGCGUAAGAACCUUCGGACAUACGCCUGAAGAUAUUCUUCGUGAUCUUGGGUGCACUGGAACAAAGCUUGAGCGGUGACUGGCUUCGUUUGAAACCCUUGGAAACUGGUGAUCAGCAUAUCCUUCAGCUUCUGCCAUGAUGUGAUUGUUCCUGGCCGAAGGGAGGAGUACCAGGUUUGUGCAACAUUCUUGACGGCCAUGACGAAAGACUUCGCCAUAACUGCAGUGUUCCGCCAUAGGAAGACAUUGUUGCUUCGUAGCUCAUCAGAAACUGCUUCGGAUCUGAAUGUCCGUCGUACAUGGGGAGUUGAGGUGGCUUGUAAUACGGAGGCCAAGGUGUAGCCUGCAGUUCUGCUGACAGAGGAGAAGCAUCAUCAAAAGCAAAAUUUCCAUGAUGGAAAUCCUCAUACCAAUCAUCCUCGUUGACAAAGCCCUCUUGAUGAAGCUCUCUGUGCUGAGGCCUUCGGUUCUGCUCAUCUUGAGCAAGAUGGCGAACUUCUUCAGAGGCUUCGUCUAUCUGCCUUUGCAGGUCAGCUAGCCUAGCCAUCUUUUCCUUCUUCCUUUGCACCUGCUGAUGGAGCAUCUCCAUAUUUCUGAUCUCUUGAUCCAAGUCGUCCUCCUGAGGCGUUGGACUGGUGGCCUUCCUCUUCUGGCUUCGGGCCUCCCGAAGAGAGAUGGUCUCCUGGUUAGGAUCCAGCGGCUGCAGAGCGGCAGCCCCUGUUGCUGAAGCUUUCUUUGGCGGCAUGACGAAGGUCUAUGCUUGCCGAAGGUGUUCAAAACUCAAAAAGUGGAAGUGAGUUCACCGGAGGUGGGCGCCAAUGUUGGGGACUUGUUCUCAAAUGCUAAGAGUUAAGAACAAGGCAACAUAAAAAAUGUUAAAUGUUAAAGUCCUUCGUCCUUCGAAGCAUUAUCUCCCUUCGGAUAUAAUGAAUCCCGGACGAAGGUUAUGAAGGGCAAGCCUUCAUAAGCACAAUAAAUAACGGAGAAGGAUUCAUACACAAGAUAUGAAAAAUAAUAUAAACACUUUAAACAUUGUUAUUAACUUAUUUUUAUUUGCGUUAUUGUAUUAACAAUAACAAAUUACAAAUGUACCUUCGGCUCGAAGGAAAGCAAGGGUACAAGCGUGACGCGAAAGCAAAUGCCAAGUCAGCGUGAACAGUACGGGGAUACUGUUCACCUAUUUAUAGGCACGGGACGCAGCCCAUGUAAAAUUACACCCAUGCCCUUUACAUUUGCUAAUGACCCUAUAGUAAUCCAUCGAGGUCGGAAUAGCCUUUUCCUUUUUAAGUCGGUUCCCUUUUCUGCUGUCAUGCCGAAGCUCUCCUGCACAUAGCUUCGGCUCUGCGCCAACCUUCGUGUUCUUUGUGCCUCUUCAUGUUGUAGUUCUGAUCCAAAUCUGAAGAUACCUGUUCAUGUAUUAUACUCCAGAAACAUUGUUAAAUCAUGUUUUUGAGGACCUUCGAAAGCCGAAGGCCCCUGUUGGGGGCCUUCGGCUUCCGAAGGUCCUCAAAAACGUGAUUUAACAAUGUUUUCUAAGUAUGCGAGCAGGUUUCUUCGGAAUCAGGAAUCAGGUUGCGGGUAUACAGAAGCAUGGUCAAGACGAAGCUUGACUGGGACGGCGAUCGUGACGAAGGAUAAGAUGAUCACGAAGCUAUAUGCAGAAGAGCUUCGGCAUCACGGCGGAAAGGGGAAACCGACUUAAAGAUGAAAAGCCAAACUAGACCUCGAAGAAUUACUAUAGGGUUAUUGAUAAAUGUAAAGGGCAUUAUUGUAAUUUUGCAUGGGCUGCGACUCGUGCCUAUAAAUAGGUGAACAGUAUCCCUGUACUGUUCACGCUGACUUGGCAUUCACUUUUACGCCACGCCUGUAUUUUCUUUCCUUCAAGCCGAAGGUACAUUUGUAAUUUAUCUUUGCAUACACAAGUUAUAUAAAUAGAAAUAUAUUAAUAAUAAUGAUGUUUAAAGAAAUUAUGCUACUUUCUAUUCUUUGUUUGAAUGUUUUUCAUCUUUUACCAUGAUCAUGAAGGUACAUCCUUCACGACCUUCAUCCUAAAUUUGUUAUAUCCGAAGGGAAAUAACGAUUUGAAGUACGAAGGGCUUUUGAUAUUUAACAUUUUAUGUUGCCUUGUUCUUGAUUCAUAGCACUUGAGAACAAGUCCCCAACAUUAGCGCCCACCUCCGGUGAACUCACUUCCAUUUUUUGAGUCUUGAACAAUUUCGGCAAGCAUCACCUUCAUCAUGCCGCCGAAAAAGCUUCAGCGACAGGGGCUGGUACUUUACAGCCGCUGGAUCCCAAUCAGGACGUCCUUUCUCUUAGAGAGGCCCGAAGCCAGAAGAGGAAGGCUGUUAGUCCAACACCUCCGGAGGAUGACCUGGAUCAGGAGAUUCAAAACCUGGAGAUCCUUCAGCAACAGGUGCAGCGCAAGAAGGAGAAGAUGGCUCGUCUAGCUGACCUUCGGAGAUAGAUAGACGAAGCUUCUGAAGAGGUUCGUCAUCUUGUUCAAGAUGAUCAGAGCCCAAGGCCUCCAUGCAGAGAGAUCCAUCAGGAAGGCUUCCACAAUGAGGACGACUGGUAUGAAGAUUUCCAUCACGGAAACUUUUCUUUCGAUGAUGAUUCUCCUCUCUCAACAGAAUUGCAGGCUACACCAUGGCCCCAGUCUUACAAGCCACCCCAGCUUCCCAUGUAUGACGGUCAUACAGACCCGAAGCAAUUCUUGAUGAGUUACGAAGCAACCAUAUCUUCGUAUGGUGGCAAUACUGCAGUCAUGGCAAAAUCUUUUGUCAUGGCCGUCAAGAGCGUCGCUCAGACCUGGUACUCUUCUCUUCGGCCAGGGACAAUCACUUCUUGGCAGAAGUUGAAGGACAUGCUGAUAACUAGCUUCCAAGGGUUUCAGACGAAGCCAGUCACUGCUCAAGCUUUAUUUCAGUGUACCCAAGACCACGAAGAAUACCUCCAAGCGUACGUCCGAAGGUUUCUGCGUCUGAGGGCACAAGCGCCAACAGUGCCCAAUGAAAUUGUCAUUGAGGCCAUGAUUAAGGGGCUUCGGCCGGGACCUUCAGCGCAGUACUUUGCCAGGAAGCCACCACAAACGUUGGAGAAGCUGCUUCAGAAGAUGGACGAAUACAUUCGAGCUGACAAUGACUUCCGCCAAAGAAGGGAGGAAGCAUUCAGGUUCUCUGAAAUGACCAGGGGCUUCGGAGGAAGAUUUCACCCGAGGCACGUUAGGUCAAUUCAUAACUCUGCUCAAACUGAUGAUCGAGGGAGUCAGCAGCAAAGGCCACAAUACUCUUCACAAGCUUCGGGCCAGUAGCAAAGUUCUUUUUGGCCGCCAGCGCCAAGGGGCAGAGGCGCCAGGGGCUUCGGGGGAAGGUUUAGAGAUCAGCCAAGAAAAAUUUAUUGCCUAUUCUGUGGUGAAGAUAAGGGCCAUACCACCAGGAUGUGUCACGUUACCAUCCAGAAGCAGAAGGAAAUAGCAGAAGCAGCUGCGCAACAAAGUCAGCCAAAGCAGGUCAUGCAUACUGCUUCGUAUCAUUCGCCUUAUAUUCCAGAAUAUGUAGGCAACCACCCUGCAGCUUCUGUUGCUUCGGCAAGCCAACCCCAAGCAUCUUGGCAGCAUCCUCCACCACCACCGCCGACGCAGCGAGGACAGCAGCCAGAAGGGAGUCAAAACAAUCACCUUCAGAGGGACUUCAGAGAGGAGUCUGAAGCUCGCACAGUCAAUAACACUGUGCCAGAGUCAAAGCACAUUUAUUGAUAAAUAUCCUAUCUCAACAGCAAUUUUUUCGCAUUUUUACAUUCAGUACUACCUUUUUGUCAAUAAGGAACAAUUAUGAGAAGUUUAUGUGUUUUUUAUCCUUUUUCAAUUUCUUGUAACACUUUCUCCUUUUUACCAUAAUAAAAAUAUGUCCUUUCCGUAGGCUUGAGUUGCCGAAGCAUACGACUUUAUGGUGGCAUGAAGGACCUUUGUAUUAUCAAAAAUUUGUUUUAACAGACACAGUGCAACUUCUGCAAAACACUGAAAAGUCGUUUCUAAUGGAGCGCAGUGUAAGUUUUCUGAAUCUACAGCGAAAAAUAAACGCUAAUUCCGCUGAAAGUAAAAGGCGAAGAAGCUCCUAAGGGAGGCUUACAGCGAAAAAUAAACGCUGAUUCCGCUGAAAGUAAAAGGCGAAGAAGCUCCUAAGGGAGGCUUACAGCGAAAAAUAAACGCUGAUUCCGCUGAAAGUAAAAGGCGAAGAAGCUCCUAAGGGAGGCUUACAGCGAAAAGUCAGCGCUGAUAUAUAAAAGUAUGUGUGCUCUAUUACAGGGAUUUAUAUCCGUGGCGCAAAUAUCAUUUUGCAUGACAUAACAUCAUCACGUCAUUUUUGCACAACAUAAGCAUCAUACAACAUAUUGCAUGUGGAACAAGAAGGGGAUACAGUGUUGAUCUUCGGAGAAUAUCUUGGAAAAGAGAAAAUUGUGCUAAGGCACAAGAUAAAUCGAGACGCAACACAAAACUUUUUUAUACCUUCGGAGAAUAUUUCACGAAGCUUGGAUAUUCUUCAUCAGAGAAGUAAGCAAAUUCUUGUGAUAUAGAAAAGAUUUUCUUCACGAAGCAUGAAAAGAAGGGAAGGUGUUUUUUCGCCGAAGGCUCAAAAAAUGGUAUGUAUGCAAAAUUUCAUGCAUCGUAAAGAAUUAAACUAUAGAUUAUAUAUUACAUUCAAAGUUACAAUAUAUUACACAUGUUACAUUCCAAAUGUUUCUACAGUAACAUUCAAUCCUCCUUAAGCACUAUUUCUGCAGCUUCAUUCAAUAGUUGGUCGACAACCUUGUCCAUAAUGGCUUCGGCCAUUUUUCUAAUUUCAUCGUCCCCCUUCGGGUGGGGGCCCGGAGAUGCCUCAGCAGGUUCUGAGGGAAGAGAAGAUACGGCUAUAUUACUAUUACAAACCGCGAACAAAGUCUCGAAUUAAAAAUUACAGCAUAAUAAAAACCACUAAUUAAUACCUAUUUGCCCUUCGGGCUCUGUACUUUUCUCCGCAGCUUCUGCUACUUUUCUGGCAUCGUGGAUGCCUUUUUCACUCUUUUGAAUAAUUUCUCGCGUCAUUUCUCGGCCGCCGUUGUCCCAGAUAUCGGUGAAGAAUUUUCCGCCGACCAUGCUUGCUUCGGCUGAGGGGUCUUUAAUAUCUUCAGAGGACAAGGUAGCUUCGGUCUGCGCUAAGGAUUUUACAUGCUCGCAGCCUUUCCUCUCCAAAACAGCAGCAAUCCCUCUAGCACCCGAAAAAGCGCAGAUGUCACCGCGGCUGUUCAGGAUUUCCUCGAAGGCCUCUGCUUCGUGACUGAUUCAUUCCAUUGGACCUUCAGGAUUGCCUUCUCUUCACUAGAGAAUGCGCCAACGCUGGCGAAGCUGGAUUUUAUCUUCUUAACGCACUCUAUGGAUUUAACAUAGCAUUUUCUCUGGGAUGCACGAAGCUCCUUAACACUUAUCUCUAAAUGAUUGGCCAAUUGAUCACUAAGCUCUCGUUUUGUUUCUUCAAGUAUACGUUCUUCUUUAGCUCUAGCUAGCUAUUUCUGAAGAUCUUUAAUUUCACGUUUUUGGGCCUCGGCCUGGGCCUUUGAGGCAGCUUCGUCCUUUUUUACCUUGUCUACCAAUGUAAGCAGAAUUUUAUCCUUUUCCAGAGCCUCGUUUCUCAGUUUAAUAACUUCUGAUCAUAGGUUGUUGAACGCAAUUUCAUAGCUUUCGUCUUCGGCAUUCUUUUGUGCUCUCAAUGCGUUGCUUAGAAUUAAACCCUAUAUGUAAAAGAGUUGGUAUAAGAAUAAAAGAAUGAGUUGUGAAUUAUAAAAUUUCCAAACGCCCAAUUCCCAUACCUUCAGGCUAUUGUAUGCAAGACUAUCCGCAAGAUCGUCCUUCGUCAUAGCACAUAAUCCAGCUUCAAGCUUUGGAAAUCCCAUACUUCUAGCCAUCUCCCGACAGACGGAUAAUUCUUUGUUGUCUGGGAGGCAGUAUAGGAAAUCUUCUUCGUUCGUCCCAUUGAACACUAGUGCCCCCUUCGGAUAUUUCAAUUCUUUGGCAUAGUGAUUAGCUUCAAAAACUUCUUCUUCCGAUAACUUUUUCCCCGAAGCAUGUCGCACGAUAUAGUCAUAUAUUUUGGAAGAUGCUUUGGGGGCGGCGGUAUCAAUUUCUUCGACCAAAGUUGGCUCUGACAUUUUCAUUUCUUCGGUUGCCUUUGCAAUUUUUGCUUCUUCUGCUUCAAAAGGUAUUACCUUGGUUGGUUCUGAAGGUCCGGUUUCAACUCCAGUCUGUUGCUUCGGAGCUUCAGCAACGCACACUUCAGCAAGCGCCUCAGAAGUUUCAGCAGUCUUCUUUGGGGUUGUGCUUGGAAGUUUAAUUGUUUCCAAAACAUCUAACACAUUAACCAUUCUUUUCCUUUUUGGGGUCACUGUUGGCCCCUUUUUAAUUUUUCAUGCUUCAAUUUCUUCUGAAGGACUUAAAAUUUCUGAUACCUUCACUCCCUCAGUUGAUGCUUUCGCUUCUUCCGUCUUUGGUUCUUCCAUCUUUUCUGUCGCUGGCACUUCGGCCAUUUCUGUGACUUCUGCCAGCAGGGUUGGCUCUUCAGCCUCGGUGGCCGAAGAGGUCUCACCGGUGAACUCAGGCACCGUGGCUGGUUCAAUAUAGCGUGGCCGGUGUGUGAGAACUUUUACCCUUUUUCUCUUCGGCGCUGGCUCGCUAGGAGCAGCUGCAGCUGUUUCUUUCGUAGAAGUUGUGCCUUUUCUUUUUUGCCCCCGUACUGGAUAGCGAUAGUCGGGGUAGACGAACCCGACUGCAUCAAACACUCGGUUGAGUCUUUUCCUUUUUCGGCCUCCGAAGGCCGCUGACAAUGCAGUGUCUUCGGCCUUCGAAUAUACCCCAAGCAAUUCAUCACUUACAGUCUCAAUGCUCUUUAACCAAUCAUCAUCUGGUUCAACGAACUUGUCUCUGUACUUAAAUGUAUACUUCAGCCUGACUAGCCCACCUUCGUCAGUUUCUUUAACAGUUUCUUUCGGCAUUUCCCAAUUAUCUGCAAGAGGCCACACUCUGAAGGCAAUGUGUUCUUGUAUUAAAUCCCUUGUCCCAAUAAAAGAGCAAACUACGCCGAAGGCCCGUUGGCAUUCUUCGGCUACUUCAUCCAUUUCUACCUUCGGUUUUCGGAGUCCGAAGCGCUGCCAGAUGGGGCACAUGAUGACAUCCUUAAUAUCUUCACGAACCUUCAAAUCAUUUUUUACAUAGAACCAUUCUUUCAUCCAUUCUCCGGGCCAUCUCUUCCGAAAGGUGGGCACGGGACAACUUGAUCCAGAGCGAGCACCGAAGUUGUAGCAACCAAAGUUGUUAUGAUAUUGCUCUUUACCCCAGGGCUUCGUUUCGUAUAACAAUUCAUGUAUAUUGCAAAAGCUUUUCGCACUUGGCUCUAGGCCCUGACUCUUCACAGCCCAGACGAAGAUUCCCAUUCUUAUUAUUGCUUCAGGGGUAAGUUGAUGAAGGUAAACCUGAUAUAUUUUCAGGACUUCUACCACAAACCUGCUUAUAGGGAAUCGUAGCCCAACUUUUAAAAAGCUUCGGAAGAUAACGACUUCAUCAUCUUCGGGAGUCGGCACAGUUCUUUCUCCGGCAUCUGCUCUCACAAUGGACAUAUCUCGAAAAUAUCUCCCCCUCAUGUUUUCAAGGUGACUUUGCCCAAUAGUUGAUUUUCCGAAGACUGAAUGGCUUGGUCGCCAUGGUCGAUCUUCGGAAUCUUCACCCCCACUGUCUACAUCAUAACUGUCACUAUCACCAGUGUCUUCAGAUAAACCUUCUAAAAUCUCCCUUGUAAUCUUCUCCGUAUUCAUCUUUGCUAUUGACUCAAGAAAACCCAGAUGCAUCUCUUCAGAAAGACUCAGCUUCAUUUCGGCAGCAACCUUCUUCUCCUCAGACAUCCCUUCGGAAUUCUUGCCUCUCGCUUUCGAAGCUUAAAACUAGGGAGGCAACCAAAUAUUUGUGGGCAGAAAACUAUUUGAGCAGGCAAAACAGAUGGCAAGAGAGCGUGCCAAAUAAAUUGUGGCGAGUCCCUAUUUAUACACCCAUUAUGUCGAAAACUGGAGGGUCCCGCUUGUCAAAGACUGUUGCUAUUCUAGCAAAGGGAAGGUGUUUUUUCGGACCUUCGGCUCAAAGCCUUCGUCCAUGUCACAAUAUAAAUUUAUCAUUCCAGCAAAUUAAUAUUGCGAGGGGCUACUGUUGGGGGCCUUCGGCUUCCGGAGGUCCUCAAAAACGUGAUUUAACAAUGUUUUCUAAGUAUGCGAGCAGGUAUCUUCGGAAUCAGGAAUCAGGUUGCGGGUAUACAGAAGCAUGGUCAAGACGAAGCUUGACUGGGACGGCGAUCGUGACGAAGGAUAAGAUGAUCACGAAGCUAUAUGCAGAAGAGCUUAGGCAUCACGGCGGAAAGGGGAAACCGACUUAAAGAUGAAAAGCCAAACUAGACCUCGAAGAAUUACUAUAGGGUUAUUGAUAAAUGUAAAGGGCAUUAUUGUAAUUUUGCAUGGGCUGCGACCCGUGCCUAUAAAUAGGUGAACAGUAUCCCUGUACUGUUCACGCUGACUUGGCAUUCACUUUUACGCCACGCCUGUAUUUUCUUUCCUUCAAGCCGAAGGUACAUUUGUAAUUUAUCUUUGCAUACACAAUUUAUAUAAAUAGAAGUAUAUUAAUAAUAAUGAUGUUUAAAGAAAUUAUGCUACUUUCUAUUCUUUGUUUGAAUGUUUUUCAUCUUUUACCAUGAUCAUGAAGGUACAUCCUUCACGACCUUCAUCCUAAAUUCGUUAUAUCCGAAGGGAAAUAACGAUUUGAAGGACGAAGGGCUUUUGAUAUUUAACAUUUUAUGUUGCCUUGUUCUUGAUUCAUAGCACUUGAGAACAAGUCCCCAACAGCCCCCAACAGCGUCGUUUGACCUCUCGAUCGCCAUAUCUCUCGAUUUCUGUGCCAUAAUUCUCUGUGUAUGUAUUUAUUCACAUUUCAUAUACUUAUGACUAUGUGACUAAUACGUGCUCACCUCUUCUGUCAUUUCAGUGACCUUGCCUGCCCGUGAGCCGUCUCAUGUCCUGCCUGGAUUCUCUCCCUCUUGUGUGAGAUUUCCAGGUAGCUAUUCGUUCUUUUGUCAUCCUAUCGGCUAUUAUCGACUUGUGCUUAGCUUCUCUCUCUCAUUUGCAGUCGUCAGGUCAGGAUGCCACGCACGAAGAAUGUGUCGGCGCCAGGGGGAGGAGAUGACGAGGACCCUCCUCGACCCUUUAGGAAGGUCAAUGGGAAGACUGUUUAUUUGGAGCAGCAGGAAGGCCGCAAGAAGCGGCGUUUGGAUAGAACAGCCCGAGCGGCUCUAGCAGCAAGAACAUCCGCUGAGCAGGCUAAGAGAGGAGAUUAGGUACAGAUUCCUUCCGAUCAGAUUGCUUACCGAGUUCGUCGCCUCGCCUCUCGGCCUCGCUCCUCCGCACCAACCACUCCCACCACUGCUACCACUCCACCACCCACUUCACCUGCUCCCAUCACUCAUGCGCCAUCCACCACCUCAGCCAUACCUACCACCUCCACUACUCCAGCUUCCACUGCUCCUCCUCCCGCUCCCCUUUCCGCUCCACCUAUCCCACCUGCCCGCUUCCGGGAGCGAGAUGAGACUGAGGUGCGACCACUAGUUGCGGAUCCCAGGUUGUUUGAUCUUCAGCGUGCUACAGCGGCACGGGUACGUCGGUUCAGACACGUACCCAUGGAGACUUGGCUACUGGCUCAGAGGGACCCUGCUGCAGUCGAUCUCUUCAGUACCCAGAUACAGGAGUCCUUCUUUCGAGCUGAGAUGUCUGCACAGAUUGCUCUACAAGUGCACCGGCUUUUGGACCUUCCUGCAUUUCUGCUAGCCGUCGAUGCUGCCUCUAAGGUACACCUCUCCUAUCUGCCUGGACUUCUCACUCUCUUGACUACCAGCGGCAGAUAUGUUGAGGAAUGGGUCCGAGUUUUCUAUGCUUCUGUAUGGAUCGACCCUGAUCACCAGUGGAUGAGAUUCCGCUUUGAGCGCGAGGAUGUUACAAUUCAUGCCAGCCAGAUUCGCCAGUUGUUUGGAUUCAACGAGUCAUCAACUCGUCUUCACAGCUUGUGCUACGGCACCUCUGAUCCUCCUCGUCGACCUCACGGCGGAGUUGCUCCUGGUACAGCUCACGUCGCGGCUUUGUUCCGACCGCCCUUCUCAGAUGGGUCACGAUGUUCUCUGGCAGACUUCACCACAGCGGCCAAGAUUUUAUAUCAGCUCAUGAGACGGACGCUUCUGCCACAGAUGGGUUACAGGGAGGCUGCUACUCAUAUCCAACUCUGGCUACUUGGUGCCAUGGUCUCUCACUCAGAGUUUGAUGUUGUGGACUUUCUUAUUUGUGAGAUUGAGGACACCGUACUGGAUGGUAUGCGUGCCCAGCGACAGCUGCCAUAUGCUCACUAUCUCUGCCACAUCUUCGCUCAGCUAAUUCGGCCACCACAGUUCUAGGGAACUCUUGAGGCCUCUCGCCUCCUCUUUGGGUCCUACCGUCCAGCCCCUGAGGAUCCUGUGUCGGCACCUUCUCAAGUGAUUGACACUCAGGCCGAGGAUACCGCUUUUCACCAGUUUGAGACUCAGGGCGCAACAGUCCCUGACGAUGAUGAUGAUGAUGACUUUGGGGUUCCGCCUCUGCCUCCACGCACUCAUGAUUAUGAGGCUAGGAGUUCCAGUGCUGCCCCUGCUAGCCCGCCUGCCAUUGGCCCUGCUCUUGCUGUGAUCCUCCAGACCCUUACUCAGCAGCAGGCUCACUUGGCCGCAGUCUAGCAGUAGAUGUUCGAGAGAAUGCUAUCGAUGUUUCAGACUAUUCAGGACAGACAGGAUACUCUACAGCAGCAGCUUCUGGCAGACCGCCAAGUAAGAAGUGUAGAACAAUUAGCUCAUAAGGACCGCCAUUGUAUAACCAUUCAUCAACAGAUGCAGCUUCCCAAAUUGGGUAAAAAUGCAAUCCGAUCGCCGCAGAAGUAGGAAUAAUAGCACCAGAGAUAAUAUUGUUUCCAUAAAGUAAAGAACCAGAAACAGGCUCACGAAUACCAUCAAUAUCUACUGGAGGAGCAGCGAUGAAGGCGAUAAUAUAUACGGAAGUUGUGGUCAAUAAGGUAGGGAUCAUCAAAACACCAAACCAUCCAAUGUAAAGACGGUUUUCGGUGCUAGUUAUCUAGUUGCAGAAGCGACCCCACAGGCUUGUACUUUCGCGUCUCUCUAAAAUUGCAGUCAUGGUAAGGUCUUGGUUUAUUCAAAUUGCAAGGACUGGGCUGAGAACAGGGCCUUCAUGACUCUCAUGCUUUAGCAUACCGGUGUUCCAAUUCCCCUAGUUCAAUCAGCACCGCCUCCACCUCUUCAGGCUAUUGUUGUGCCAGCCAUUCAGGCAGGACCUCCUCUUCCUACAGUUGGUCCUUCUUCCUCUCCGCUCCGACCAAUCACCCUGGUUUUCUCGUCGUCGGUCAUCAGCUUCGUCAGCACUCAGCCGCCAGUGCCCCCAGCUCCUGCUGUUACCACUACUGUUGUGGCGGUAUCUGUGACCUCUUCAGCUCCGGCAGCUCCUGCAGCAUAGCCUCCGUCCGAGUCAGUACCAGCUCCAGCUUCUAUGGCAGAUCCUGGAUCUGAGACUGACUCUGACCCGCAGCUGGCAUUCGCUCUUCUGCCACGACCACGACCGGAUGCGCCCCCGCCACCUCCUUCCUCUUCUGGUGUGUAGGUUUGAGUUCCCUUUUGGUGUUUGACGCCAAAGGGGGAGAGAUAUGUGAGUUGUGAGAGCUAGGGGAGUUAGGGAGUUAGUAGAGAGUCAUUUUGAUUUAAUAUAUGUGCUCGUUACUCUCUGUACUAGCUCCACUUUUGUAUGAUGAUUUUGGCUCACAAACUCUAUUAUAUACUCUCAAUGCUUAGGUUGACUACGUGUGCAUUAUGUUUUCACAUUAUAUGUUAUCACCAGUCUUCUAGUUCUUGUUCAUCGAUUUGAUUUCACUUUUAUAUGAACAAAACUUACGAUGUGUAUGCGCUCAUUCCUAUUACUAUGUUACACACUCUUUCUGUCAAAGACUAUUGAGUACAACUAACCAUCUUUUCUAUUGACAGAAAUUUCAAAAACAAACUACUCUCACAAACCUUGUAGGGUUAUCAUCAAUCACCAAAAAGAGGGAGAUUGAAAGCAUCUAGGCCCCUCACUACAGGAAACGCAUAAAUUUUCAUGGGCCAAAAACCCACGAAAAUAAGGGUAAACCGACGAAAAAAGUCUAUUUUUGUCGGCAUGCCGACGAAAAUAGCCGCCGAAAAUAAAUUCGACGAAAAUGCACAACUAGGCUUAAGCCAGCUUCGAGCUUCGGAAACCCCAUGCUUCUAGACAUCUCCCGGCAGACGGACAAUUCUUUAUUGUCUGGGAGGCAGUAUAGGAAAUCCUCUUCGUCCGUCCCAUUGAAUACUAGUGCCCCCUUCGGAUAUUUUAAUUCUUUGGCAUAGUGGUUAGCUUCAAAAACUUCUUCUUCCGAUAACUUUUUCCCUGAAGCAUGACGCACAAUAUAAUCGUAUAUUUUGGAAGAUGCUUCGGGGACAGCAGUAUCAAUUUCUUCGACCAAAAUAGGCUCUAACAUUUUUAUUUCUUUAGUCGCCUUUUCAAUUCUUGCUUCUUCUGCUUCCAAAGGUAUUACCUUGGUUGGUUCUGAAGGCUCAGUUUCAACUACAGUCUGUUGCUUUGGAGCCUUAGCAACGGAUACUUCCACAGGCGCCUCUGAAGUUUCAGCAGUCUUCUUUGGAGUUGUGCUUGGAAGUUUAAUUGUCUCCAAAACAUCCAACACAUUGACCAUUCUUUUUUCUUUUUGGGGUCACUGUUGGCCCCUUUUUUCUUGCUACUUCAAUUUCUACUGAAGGACUUAAAAUUUCUGAUAUUUUUGCUCCCUCAGUUGAUGCUUUUGCUUCUUCCAUCUUUUCUGUCGAUGGUGCUUCACCAUCUCUUUGGUUUCUGGUAACAGAAUCUUUGGUUCAUCCAAUUCCUUUGUUGUUGGCGCUUCGGCCAUUCCUGCGACUUCUGGCAGCAGGGUUGGCUCUUCAGCCUCGGUGGCCGGAGAAGUCUCUCCGGUGAAUUCAGGCACCGUGGCUGGUUCAAUAUAGCAUGGCCGAUGUGUGAGAACUUUUAUCCUCUUUCUCUUCGGUGCUGGCUCACUAGGAGCAGCUGCAGCUUUUUCUUUCGCAGAAGUUGUGCCUUUUCUUUUUUGCCCUCGUAUUGGAUAGCGAUAGUCGGGGUAGACGAACCCGAUUGCAUCAAAUACCCGGUUGAGUCUUUUCCUUUUUCGGCCUCCGAAGGCCGCUUACAAAGCAGUAUCUUCGGCCUUCGAGUAUGCCCCAAGCAAUUCAUCACUUACAGUCUCAAUGCUCUUUAACCAAUCAUCAUCUGGUUCAACGAAUUUGUCUCCAUACUUGAAUGUGUACCUUAGCCGGACUAGCCAACCUUCGUCAGUUUCUUUAAUAGUUUCUUUCGGCAUUUCCCAAUUAUCCGCAAGAGGCCACACUCUGAAGGCAAUAUGUUCUUGUGUUAAAUCCCUCGUCCCAAUAAAAGAGCAAACAACUCCGAAGGCUCUCUGGCAUUCUUCGGCUGCUUCAUUCAUUUCCACCUUCGGCCUUCGCAGGCUGAAGCGUUGCCAGAUGGGAUGCAUAAUGAUCUUCUUUACAUCUUCUCGAGAUUUCAAGUCAUUUUUCACGUAAAACCAUUCCGUCAUCCAGUCGCCAGGCCACCUCUUGCGAAAGGUCGGCACUGGGCAGCUUGACCCAGAACGAGAGCCGAAGCUAUAACAGCCAAAGUUGUUGUGAUAUUGUUCCUUACCCCAGGGUUUUGUCUCGUAUAACAAUUCGUGUAUAUUGUAGAAGCUCUUUGCAUCAGGUUCCAAGCCUUGGCUCCUCACAGCCCACACGAAAAUAUUCAUCCUUAUGAUCGCUUCGGGGAUAAGUUGGUGAAGGUGGAUUUCAAAUAUCUUCAGCACCUCCACAACAAAACGGCUCAGGGGAAAUCGUAGUCCAGCUUUCAAGAAGCUUCGAAAUACUACAACUUCAUUUUCCUCAGGAGUUGGGCAAGUCUUCUCUCCCUCGUCGGCCCUUACAAUAGACAAAUCCCGGAAAUAUCUUCCCCUCAUGUUGGCAAGAUGACUUUCUUUAAUACUUGAUUUGCCGAAAACCGCAUGGCUUCGUCGCCAAGGUCGAUCUUCGGAGUCUUCGCCACCACUAUCCGCAUCAUAGCUGUCGCUAUCACCAGUAUCUUCAGAUAAACCUUCCAAAAUUUCUUUAGUGAUCUUCUCUGUAUUAGUCUUCGACAUAGAUUGAAGAAAACCCAGAUGCAUCUCUUCAGAAAGACUCAGCUUCAUUUCGGCAACAACCUUCUUCUCCUCAGACAUCUCUUCGGAAUUCUUGCCUCUCGCUUCCGAAGCUUAAUACUAGGGAGGCAACAAAAUAUUUGUGGCCAGAAAAUUAUUUGAGCAGGCAAAACAGAUGGCAAGGGAGCGUGCCGAAUAAAUUGUGGCGAGCCCGUAUUUACAAACCCAUUAUGUCGGAGACUGGAGGGCCCCAUUUGCCAAUGACUGUUGCUAUUCUAGCAAAAGGAAGGUGUUUUUUCGGACCUUCGGCUUAUAGCCUUCGUCCAUUUCGCAAUCUGAAUUCAUCAUUCUGACAAAUUAAUAUUGCGAGGGGCUACUGUUGGGGGCCUUCGGCUUCCGAAGGUCCUCAAAAACAUGUUUUAACAAUGUUUCUGGAGUAAAGUAUGUUAACAGGUACCUUCGGAUUCGGAUCAGAGCCACGGUACGAAGAAGCACAAAGGUUGGCGCAGAGCCGAAGCUGUGUGUAGAAGAGCUUCGGAGUAGCGGUGGAAAAGGAAACCGACUUAAAGAUGAAAAACCAGAUUAGACCUCGAAGAGUUAUCAUAGAGUUAUUGAUAAAUGUAAAGGGCAUUAUUGUAAUUUUCCAUGGGCUGCGACCCGUGCCUAUAAAUAGGUGAACAGUAUCCCCGUACUGUUCACGCUGAUUCGACAUUGGCUUUGGCAUCACACUUGUGCUUCUACCUUCUUUACGAGCUGAAGGUACACUUAUAAUUUAAUAUUAUCUUUAUCUUUCCAUCAUAAUAAAAUGGAAAUGAUUCGACAACAUUAAACAACUGUUUAUGUUAUCUUCAUGUUUCAUAUGAUCCUUUCUUCAUUAUUAUAUUUUAUGCUGAUGAAGGUAUGUCCUUCAUAACCUUCGCCCGAAAAUCAUUAUAUCCUUAAGGAAAUAAUGCUUAGAAGGACGAAGGAUAUUAAUAUUUAACAUUUUGUGUUGCCUUGUUCUUGAUCCAUAGCAUUUGAGAACAAGUCACCAACAAAUACAGAAUUCACAAACCACAUCCACAAUCAAUACCAUAAUUGUUUCAAACCACAAUCACAUCCAUAAUAAAGUCCAUACAUAGUCCAUAGACAAACUCACUCAUGGCAAGUCUCACUCCUGCGGGCUGUGGGAGUUUUGGCCACUCCCUCCUCCGCCACCAGGAAGGUGGCCACUCCCUCCGGAACCAUGGACGAGGUAGUCUUGGACGUUGACAGCACCCUCCGAUCCCUGAGCAUGUGACACUGAACCCUGCAAUUCAUCAAUCAUUCAAAUAAGGUUGUGUUUUGCUAUCCAUAUACCUAUACAUUGCUAUGUUUGGUCACUAUUUGCAUAAAACUAAACAUGGAACGUCACCUGUGAUCCAUUGUGCUGAGGAGGCUGUGCAUGCAUCCAUGGGUAAUGUUGUGCUGGCCACCCCUGGGGUGGUGGCACCCACCCCGGCGGUGGCGGUGCCAUCCACGCUUGAAGUGGCUGAGAGCCCGGCAGUGGCUGGGAGACCGGUGGCACCCAUCCCGGGGUUGGCUGCGAUCCCUGGGGUGGUGGAGCCGUCCAAGUGCCUGGAGGUGCCUGCGUCCACCCAACACCGGUCCACAGUGGCUGCGACGCUGGAGCUAGCUGAGAUCCCUGGAGUGGUGGCGUAAAUGGCUGCAACUCUGGAGCUUGUCCUGGCCACUGUCCCCAUCCUUGUGCCUGCGAGCCAUUUUUUAUAAUAAAAAAGAGUUGCUAUGGAAUUGAAGUGUUCAGAUAGUGUUACCUGGGGAGGGCAAAAAGCGGGCAAGUUCAUAUCAGGGCCGAGUCGAGAAGUCAUUUCCUGCAAAUGGAUGAAACGUUAGAAUCGCAACAUUAUACUUUGAAUUCAAUAACACGUGAUGAGAUAGAUGAAUUACCUGAAAAUAAGAAGCCAUAUACUGCGUCAGCUGUCCGACCUGCUCCUGCGCUGCUCGAGCUUGCUGCUGUGCUGCUCGAGCCUGCUCCUGUGCUGCUCGAGUCUCCUCCUCCACCUAAGCCUCUCGAGCAGACCUAGAGGAGCGAGAACUCCCUUGACCUAUUGUCCUGUUAUACUCCACAACGCCGGUGCCAAAGGCAAACCUGCAUGAUACACAUAGUUGAGCCAUUAAGUGGACAUAUUCUUGUUAAUGAAAUUGUCGAAUCAAACACAAACACCUCACCUGCCAUGCUUUCUACCCCCACCACUGUGGUACAACGCCGAGGCAUCUAAGUCCGAAUGCAUCCAGUCGAAGUCAGGCCCAUGGCGUUGAAUCAUUUCCUCCCCAUAUGCAUUCUGCAAAGAAAGUUAGAGUUGGAGUUAGACACAAAACAUGCAAUUUAAUUCAUAAAUACAAACUUGUUUACCAUUUUCUCCCUUGCCGCCUCGCUGCAUAGCACAUCAGGGUUCACCGGAUCAGGGCCACGGUGACCACGAACGUAAACCUCCAUAAAACUUGGAGCAACUACACUUUCAGCUUCCUGCAUGAAAAAGAAGAGUUAAACCAUAGAAUUUUCAUAGAUGUAACAUACAAGUUUGAUUUACAUACUUACCAUGCGGCGUGCGGUACCAAGGUGUCCAUCGGCGCCGUACCUGUGCCCCAGUCCUUCAGUGCCACGGUUGGCACGGUGCUUCUGGGACUCUGCAAUCCACUUAGGCGACGCCCAUCUCUUAGCCAACCACCUCCAGGCUUCCAUGUCCUUCGCAAGCCAAUCCACAACGCUCUCCAGGUACUACUCCUCUGUGAGGUAGAUCUCAUUGGCCCCUUUUAUCGAUGUUUCAGACUAUUCAGGACAGACAGGAUACUCUACAGCAGCAGCUUCUGGCAGACCGCCAAGUAAGAAGUGUAGAACAAUUAGCUCAUAAGGACCGCCAUUGUAUAACCAUUCAUCAACAGAUGCAGCUUCCCAAAUUGGGUAAAAAUGCAAUCCGAUCGCCGCAGAAGUAGGAAUAAUAGCACCAGAGAUAAUAUUGUUUCCAUAAAGUAAAGAACCAGAAACAGGCUCACGAAUACCAUCAAUAUCUACUGGAGGAGCAGCGAUGAAGGCGAUAAUAUAUACGGAAGUUGUGGUCAAUAAGGUAGGGAUCAUCAAAACACCAAACCAUCCAAUGUAAAGACGGUUUUCGGUGCUAGUUAUCUAGUUGCAGAAGCGACCCCACAGGCUUGUACUUUCGCGUCUCUCUAAAAUUGCAGUCAUGGUAAGGUCUUGGUUUAUUCAAAUUGCAAGGACUGGGCUGAGAACAGGGCCUUCAUGACUCUCAUGCUUUAGCAUACCGGUGUUCCAAUUCCCCUAGUUCAAUCAGCACCGCCUCCACCUCUUCAGGCUGUUGUUGUGCCAGCCAUUCAGGCAGGACCUCCUCUUCCUACAGUUGGUCCUUCUUCCUCUCCGCUCCGACCGAUCACCCUGGUUUUCUCGUCGUCGGUCAUCAGCUUCGUCAGCACUCAACCGCCAGUGCCCCCAGCUCCUGCUGUUACCACUACUGUUGUGGCGGUAUCUGUGACCUCUUCAGCUCCGGCAGCUCCUGCAGCAUAGCCUCCGUCCGAGUCAGUACCAGCUCCAGCUUCUAUGGCAGAUCCUGGAUCUGAGACUGACUCUGACCCGUAGCUGGCAUUCGCUCUUCUGCCACGACCACGACCGGAUGCGCCCCCGCCACCUCCUUCCUCUUCUGGUGUGUAGGUUUGAGUUCCCUUUUGGUGUUUGACGCCAAAGGGGGAGAGAUAUGUGAGUUGUGAGAGCUAGGGGGAGUUAGGGAGUUAGUAGAGAGUCAUUUUGAUGUAAUAUAUGUGCUCGUUACUCUCUGUACUAGCUCCACUUUUGUAUGAUGAUUUUGGCUCACAAACUCUAUUAUAUACUCUCAAUGCUUAGGUUGACUACGUGUGCAUUAUGUUUUCACAUUAUAUGUUAUCACCAGUCUUCUAGUUCUUGUUCAUCGAUUUGAUUUCACUUUUAUAUGAACAAGAAACUUACGAUGUGUAUGCGCUCAUUCCUAUUACUAUGUUACACACUCUUUCUGUCAAAGACUAUUGAGUACAACUAACCAUCUUUUCUAUUGACAGAAAUUUCAAAAACAAACUACUCUCACAAACCUUGUAGGGUUAUCAUCAAUCACCAAAAAGAGGGAGAUUGAAAGCAUCUAGGCCCCUCACUACAGGAAACGCAUAAAUUUUCAUGGGCCAAAAACCCACGAAAAUAAGGGUAAACCGACGAAAAAAGUCUAUUUUUGUCGGCAUGCCGACGAAAAUAGCCGCCGAAAAUAAAUUCGACGAAAAUGCACAACUAGGCUUAAGCCAGCUUCGAGCUUCGGAAACCCCAUGCUUCUAGACAUCUCCCGGCAGACGGACAAUUCUUUAUUGUCUGGGAGGCAGUAUAGGAAAUCCUCUUCGUCCGUCCCAUUGAAUACUAGUGCCCCCUUCGGAUAUUUUAAUUCUUUGGCAUAGUGAUUAGCUUCAAAAACUUCUUCUUCCAAUAACUUUUUCCCUGAAGCAUGACGCACAAUAUAAUCGUAUAUUUUGGAAGAUGCUUCGGGGACAGCAGUAUCAAUUUCUUCGACCAAAAUAGGCUCUAACAUUUUUAUUUCUUUAGUCGCCUUUUCAAUUCUUGCUUCUUCUGCUUCCAAAGGUAUUACCUUGGUUGGUUCUGAAGGCUCAGUUUCAACUACAGUCUGUUGCUUUGGAGCCUUAGCAACGGAUACUUCCACAGGCGCCUCUGAAGUUUCAGCAGUCUUCUUUGGAGUUGUGCUUGGAAGUUUAAUUGUCUCCAAAACAUCCAACACAUUGACCAUUCUUUUUUCUUUUUGGGGUCACUGUUGGCCCCUUUUUUCUUGCUACUUCAAUUUCUACUGAAGGACUUAAAAUUUCUGAUAUUUUUGCUCCCUCAGUUGAUGCUUUUGCUUCUUCCAUCUUUUCUGUCGAUGGUGCUUCACCAUCUCUUUGGUUUCUGGUAACAGAAUCUUUGGUUCAUCCAAUUCCUUUGUUGUUGGCGCUUCGGCCAUUCCUGCGACUUCUGGCAGCAGGGUUGGCUCUUCAGCCUCGGUGGCCGGAGAAGUCUCUCCGGUGAAUUCAGGCACCGUGGCUGGUUCAAUAUAGCAUGGCCGAUGUGUGAGAACUUUUAUCCUCUUUCUCUUCGGUGCUGGCUCACUAGGAGCAGCUGCAGCUUUUUCUUUCGCAGAAGUUGUGCCUUUUCUUUUUUGCCCUCGUAUUGGAUAGCGAUAGUCGGGGUAGACGAACCCGAUUGCAUCAAAUACCCGGUUGAGUCUUUUCCUUUUUCGGCCUCCGAAGGCCGCUUACAAAGCAGUAUCUUCGGCCUUCGAGUAUGCCCCAAGCAAUUCAUCACUUACAGUCUCAAUGCUCUUUAACCAAUCAUCAUCUGGUUCAACGAAUUUGUCUCCAUACUUGAAUGUGUACCUUAGCCGGACUAGCCAACCUUCGUCAGUUUCUUUAAUAGUUUCUUUCGGCAUUUCCCAAUUAUCCGCAAGAGGCCACACUCUGAAGGCAAUAUGUUCUUGUGUUAAAUCCCUCGUCCCAAUAAAAGAGCAAACAACUCCGAAGGCUCUCUGGCAUUCUUCGGCUGCUUCAUUCAUUUCCACCUUCGGCCUUCGCAGGCUGAAGCGUUGCCAGAUGGGAUGCAUAAUGAUCUUCUUUACAUCUUCUCGAGAUUUCAAGUCAUUUUUCACGUAAAACCAUUCCGUCAUCCAGUCGCCAGGCCACCUCUUGCGAAAGGUCGGCACUGGGCAGCUUGACCCAGAACGAGAGCCGAAGCUAUAACAGCCAAAGUUGUUGUGAUAUUGUUCCUUACCCCAGGGUUUUGUCUCGUAUAACAAUUCGUGUAUAUUGUAGAAGCUCUUUGCAUCAGGUUCCAAGCCUUGGCUCCUCACAGCCCACACGAAAAUAUUCAUCCUUAUGAUCGCUUCGGGGAUAAGUUGGUGAAGGUGGAUUUCAAAUAUCUUCAGCACCUCCACAACAAAACGGCUCAGGGGAAAUCGUAGUCCAGCUUUCAAGAAGCUUCGAAAUACUACAACUUCAUUUUCCUCAGGAGUUGGGCAAGUCUUCUCUCCCUCGUCGGCCCUUACAAUAGACAAAUCCCGGAAAUAUCUUCCCCUCAUGUUGGCAAGAUGACUUUCUUUAAUACUUGAUUUGCCGAAAACCGCAUGGCUUCGUCGCCAAGGUCGAUCUUCGGAGUCUUCGCCACCACUAUCCGCAUCAUAGCUGUCGCUAUCACCAGUAUCUUCAGAUAAACCUUCCAAAAUUUCUUUAGUGAUCUUCUCUGUAUUAGUCUUCGACAUAGAUUGAAGAAAACCCAGAUGCAUCUCUUCAGAAAGACUCAGCUUCAUUUCGGCAACAACCUUCUUCUCCUCAGACAUCUCUUCGGAAUUCUUGCCUCUCGCUUCCGAAGCUUAAUACUAGGGAGGCAACAAAAUAUUUGUGGCCAGAAAAUUAUUUGAGCAGGCAAAACAGAUGGCAAGGGAGUGUGCCGAAUAAAUUGUGGCGAGCCCGUAUUUACAAACCCAUUAUGUCGGAGACUGGAGGGCCCCAUUUGCCAAUGACUGUUGCUAUUCUAGCAAAAGGAAGGUGUUUUUUCGGACCUUCGGCUUAUAGCCUUCGUCCAUUUCGCAAUCUGAAUUCAUCAUUCUGACAAAUUAAUAUUGCGAGGGGCUACUGUUGGGGGCCUUCGGCUUCCGAAGGUCCUCAAAAACAUGUUUUAACAAUGUUUCUGGAGUAAAGUACGUUAACAGGUACCUUCGGAUUCGGAUCAGAGCCACGGUACGAAGAAGCACAAAGGUUGGCGCAGAGCCGAAGCUGUGUGUAGAAGAGCUUCAGAGUAGCGGUGGAAAAGGAAACCGACUUAAAGAUGAAAAACCAGAUUAGACCUCGAAGAGUUAUCAUAGAGUUAUUGAUAAAUGUAAAGGGCAUUAUUGUAAUUUUCCAUGGGCUGCGACCCGUGCCUAUAAAUAGGUGAACAGUAUCCCCGUACUGUUCACGCUGAUUCGACAUUGGCUUUGGCAUCACACUUGUGCUUCUACCUUCUUUACGAGCUGAAGGUACACUUAUAAUUUAAUAUUAUCUUUAUCUUUCCAUCAUAAUAAAAUGGAAAUGAUUCGACAACAUUAAACAACUGUUUAUGUUAUCUUCAUGUUUCAUAUGAUCCUUUCUUCAUUAUUAUAUUUUAUGCUGAUGAAGGUAUGUCCUUCAUAACCUUCGCCCGAAAAUCAUUAUAUCCUUAAGGAAAUAAUGCUUAGAAGGACGAAGGAUAUUAAUAUUUAACAUUUUGUGUUGCCUUGUUCUUGAUCCAUAGCAUUUGAGAACAAGUCACCAACAAAUACAGAAUUCACAAACCACAUCCACAAUCAAUACCAUAAUUGUUUCAAACCACAAUCACAUCCAUAAUAAAGUCCAUACAUAGUCCAUAGACAAACUCACUCAUGGCAAGUCUCACUCCUGCGGGCUGUGGGAGUUUUGGCCACUCCCUCCUCCGCCACCAGGAAGGUGGCCACUCCCUCCGGAACCAUGGACGAGGUAGUCUUGGACGUUGACAGCACCCUCCGAUCCCUGAGCAUGUGACACUGAACCCUGCAAUUCAUCAAUCAUUCAAAUAAGGUUGUGUUUUGCUAUCCAUAUACCUAUACAUUGCUAUGUUUGGUCACUAUUUGCAUAAAACUAAACAUGGAACGUCACCUGUGAUCCAUUGUGCUGAGGAGGCUGUGCAUGCAUCCAUGGGUAAUGUUGUGCUGGCCACCCCUGGGGUGGUGGCACCCACCCCGGCGGUGGCGGUGCCAUCCACGCUUGAAGUGGCUGAGAGCCCGGCAGUGGCUGGGAGACCGGUGGCACCCAUCCCGGGGUUGGCUGCGAUCCCUGGGGUGGUGGAGCCGUCCAAGUGCCUGGAGGUGCCUGCGUCCACCCAACACCGGUCCACAGUGGCUGCGACGCUGGAGCUAGCUGAGAUCCCUGGAGUGGUGGCGUAAAUGGCUGCAACUCUGGAGCUUGUCCUGGCCACUGUCCC
rnacentral:lncRNA from 1 species